GCCCUCUAUGAUUUCUAUUUCAUUCAUUUUGAAUUAAAAUAUCACAAAAUUUUAUAUUUAAAAUCAUCUCUUAAGAAUUAAUAUUUUAUUAAUUUGAUUUUGUGACAUUUAAUUACGAUUUUAAUAUAAAAAAUGAGCAAAUAUCUUCUUUUGAGAUAUUCGUUUCUUCAAAAAAAUAAAAAUAUUUAUAGGAGGAAGCUGUGAUACGUUCACUAAAAAAAAAUCCUUUUGUAGCCAAUCAUCUAUUAAGAAAAAUUAAUAAGCUUAAUAAAAAAAAAAAAUAAUAGUAACUUAGUAAUCAAUCCUUAAGAAAAAUAUAUAUAUUGUUAUGUAAUAGACAGAAAAAAUCUAGGCAAAUACAAUACUACUUAUUGAAUCAUUGAAAAUAAAAUAAAGGAGCAAAAGCCCCUCUUGGUAAACCAAGAAAGAGUUUAUUGCUCCUUAUAUUUUUCUAUUAUUAUUCUAUUUUCAAAACCUCCUAUACACUAAGACCAAGUCUUAUCC
rnacentral:misc_RNA from 1 species